UACGAAGGGUGCAAGCGUUGCUCGGAAUUAUUGGGCGUAAAGGAUAGGCAGGUGGUUACGUAUGUCUGGGGUGAAAUCCCUGAGCUCAACUCAGGAAGUGCCUUGGAAACGGCGUAACUAGAGUACUAGAGAGGUUCGUGGAAUUCCCGGUGUAGCGGUGAAAUGCGUAGAGAUCGGGAGGAACACCGAUGGCGAAGGCAGGUCUCUGGGCCAUAACUGACGCUGAGAAGCGAAAGCAUGGGGAGCGAACAGG
rnacentral:rRNA from 1 species